UACGGAAGGUCCGGGCGUUAUCCGGAUUUAUUGGGUUUAAAGGGAGCGCAGGCCGCCGUGCAAGCGUGCCGUGAAAAGCAGCGGCCCAACCGCUGCCCUGCGGCGCGAACUGCUUGGCUUGAGUGCGCCGGAAGCGGGCGGAAUUCGUGGUGUAGCGGUGAAAUGCUUAGAUAUCACGAAGAACCCCGAUUGCGAAGGCAGCCCGCUGUGGCGCCACUGACGCUGAGGCUCGAAGGUGCGGGUAUCGAACAGG
rnacentral:rRNA from 2 species